UAAUACAGAGGGUGCAAGCGUUAAUCGGAAUUACUGGGCGUAAAGCGUGUGUAGGUGGUUGGAUAAGUUAGAUGUGAAAUCCCCGGGCUUAACCUGGGAACUGCGUUUAAGACUGUCUAGCUAGAGUACUGUAGAGGAUAGUGGAAUUUCCAGUGUAGCGGUGAAAUGCGUAGAUAUUGGAAGGAACACCAGUGGCGAAGGCGACUAUCUGGAUAGAUACUGACACUGAGACACGAAAGCGUGGGGAGCAAACAGGAUUAGAUACCCUGGUAGUCCAUGCUGUAAACUAUGAGAACUUGCUGUUGGAUGCAUAAAGGCAUUUAGUAGCGAAGCUAACGCGUUAAGUUCUCCGCCUGGGGAGUACGGUCGCAAGACUA
rnacentral:rRNA from 1 species